rnacentral:rRNA from 1 species
UGGUUGAUUGUUUUGUGGUGCAUUUGCAAGUGGAGUGCGUCGAGGCGCUCGAGGUGGCGGCAUGAUCUCAACUUUGAGGCCAGCUUGCUGGUACCCGGGUUGGGGGACUGCUGUUCAUUUUGGGUGUAAUAAGAUGGGAACGGCUUACGGGCUCGUAUGGGUUCCGAGCUGGCAGUCGGAGGAGGUCGCUUGCGACACGUGCUGUGCAGUCAGUUCGGUCCUGUGCGAGCUCACUCAGUCCCACUCUCGGSGUAAAAGCUGGUCAUCUAUUCGACCCGUCUUGAAACACGGACCAAGGAGUUUAUCGUGUGCGCAAGUCAUUGAGUGUUGAAAACUCAAAGGCGCAAUGAAAGUGAAGCAUCUGAAAGGAUUUGACGUGUGAUCAUGGCAGUUUCGGCUGUCGCGAGCAACAUGGCCCCAUCCUAGUCGCUUGCGACGGGGUGGAGGAAGAGCGUACGCGGUGAGACCCGAAAGAUGGUGAACUAUUCCUGAGCAGGAUGAAGCCAGAGGAAACUCUGGUGGAAGUCCGAAGCGAUU